UACAUGUGCAGUAGCUCCGCCCCCGUAGCCUUCCCUUCAUUGCCAAGAAAAGUUGUCCUUGGGGGCGCUUUAGUUGUUUGACGGGUGCACGAUGCGCGCGGUUUGUGUGUGUGUGUGCCAUGCUGUGUUCUGCAAUGCUUCGUUACCACGUUUAUCGAUUAUGCACGUUGGUUACUUGAUUCAAUGUCAAGUGUACCUUCCAAGACGAUCUAGGUCCUAGUCUCGUGACUGAAGGCGAGUGCGGACGUACAGCAGCCUUUUGACAAGACUGUCGCCGAGUGUACGGUACAUUGUGGACUGUAAAGCUGAAGAGUGCACAGUGGAUGCCUGAUUUUGGAACCGAGUGUGAUCGUCUGGGCGGUGUGUUCACUCUGCGGGGAUGAUGGCCAGAGGAAGGAUGAUAGACAGACGACAGCUUGCAGACGAAGAUGGGAGCGUUCUACCUGUGAGCCUGGUCGAGCUUAUAUUUUAUGGAUACACAUGCAUGGAUACACAUACAUGGAUUCCCUACAAGGACCCUGCGCAUCAAAAGCAAUCUGUCAUCAAUGUUAAGUAGACAGAUUAAACGAAACGAAGAUAUGACAGGUGUACACCAUAUUUUUCUUUCAUUUAACCUCUGCAUGUUUCCCAGUCA